CCCUACUCCACAUAUGCACUAUCCAACUGAGACUGCCUAAUUCGGUACCUAAUUUGUGUAGAAUUUGAUACCUAAAGGAAAAAGAGAAAUGCAAGUUUCAAACAUUUUAAAUAAUCUUUGCACUCUUCAAAGCUUGUGUUUUAACCUCAUAUCAUGAAAGAUUAUUACAAUAAGAGGUGAGCCAACUUUAUCACUUUAUUAUCUAUGUU
rnacentral:lncRNA from 1 species